GGCUCAGAGAGGUGGAGACGUGUCCAUGGUCCUAAUCCAUAAACGUAGGAAGGGAGAGUUGAACCCGGGCAUGCUCUGAUGGUGGCACCCUUUCAGUUAUUCCUCAUUGUCUCACAACAGCCCUGAGAGUCUGGAAGUACAGUAGCCACUGAUCGGCCUGAUUCCACUCCUGAUGGGCAUGGACAUUUUGACUCCCUCCACUUCAGACCUGGGUGGGUGCUCCAUGAGAGUGAAGAACCUGGCUGGGCAAGCAGAAGGACUAAAGAUUAACCGAAGCCUGGAAGCAGUUAUGCCUCUGCCAAGCACUAGGUUUGAAGGGAUAGACUAUGAGUUUGGCUCCUGGUCCUGGCAUUUGGGCAUGGCUGCAUGCUAUGGGUCUGUUAGUUCUCAUCUUGGCAGAAAAGCUCUUGGUGUCCUACCUAUGUGGUAGCAGGGAAGGGUAUGUCCUAGAUGAGAGAACCUAACAAAUGUCAUGUCAUUCCCUCCCAGUGUCAAGAUCUGGAGGCUGUUAGAGACAGAGAAUAAGAUUCUUGAGGGUAGGGGAACUGGGAGGCAGGAUGCUUAGUUCUUCGUCAUGGGCCAGGAGAGGAUGGAGACUUCCCUCUUCUUCCAGGAAGGGCAUAGGAAGACUGAAGU